UACGGAGGGUGCAAGCGUUAAUCGGAAUUACUGGGCGUAAAGGGCGCGCAGGCGGGAAUGUAAGUCAGAUGUGAAAUCUCGGGGCUCAACCCCGAAAGUGCAUUUGAAACUGCAUUUCUUGAGUAUGGGAGAGGAAAGCGGAAUUCCUGGUGUAGCGGUGAAAUGCGUAGAUAUCAGGAGGAACACCGGUGGCGAAGGCGGCUUUCUGGACCAAUACUGACGCUGAGGCGCGAAGGCGUGGGUAGCAAACAGG
rnacentral:rRNA from 1 species